rnacentral:rRNA from 1 species
AUUGAACGCUGGCGGCCGGCCUAACACAUGCACGUCGCACGAGUGGCGGAAGGGUGAGUAAUGUCUGGGAAACUGCCUGAUGGAGGGGGAUAACUACUGGAAACGGUAGCUAAUACCGCAUACCAUCGGAUGUGCCCAGAUGGGAUUAGCUAGUAGGUGGGGUAAAUGCUCAACUAGGCGACGAUCCCUAGCUGGUCUGAGAGGAUGACGAGCCACACUGGAAAUGAGACACGGUCCAGAUUCCUACGGUAGGCAGCAGUGGGGAAUAUUGCACAAUGGGCGCAAGCCUGAUGCAGCCAUGCCGCGGUUAUGAAGAAGGCCGUCGGGUUGUAAAGUACUUUCAGCGGGGAGGCGUUACCCGCAGAAGAGGCACCUGCUAACUCCGUGCCAGCAGCCGCGGUAAUAC